CAUUAUCAUGCGUAUUAAUUUUAGUCAAAGUUGUUUCUAAGUCUUUAAAGUAUUCAUCUACCGUCUUAGGUCCUUGAUGAAGUCGUUGGAGCUUCAACAAGAAUUCCUUCCUAUAAGGAGGAUGAACAAACUGCGCGCGUAUACAUGCUUUCAAAUCAUACCAAGAGACCACGAUUGGCCUCUUGUUUAGCCCAAUGUCCAUUACAGUUUGUUGCCACCAUUGGUUGGCGUAGUCUAAAAAAAACUAGGGAAGCUAACCAAACCUUUUGGUCCUCGGUGACCUUAUACACAUUGAAAAGAUGUUCAACUUUAGCUUCCCAUUCUAAAUACAAAGUAGGGUCAUUGGACCCACUAAAACUAGGUAACUUUACAAAAUCAAAAGAAUGUUAUGGUUGGUGGUGGUGUUGAUGGUGUCGUUUUGCAAAAGUGUGCACUCGCCAAUGAUGUUCUUGACUCCCAUAGUGCAUGGAUGGUCUAGAUGUUCUUGGCGGCUCCAAUCUCCUUUCUUGAUUUUGCCUCGCUUGAGCUUCUUAUUAUCUUUGCAAUCUUUUUGCUAGUUGGCUUAUUUUCUCAUCUUUGUGGACAAGUCGCUUUUUCACCUCCACAAGUUCUCCCAAAAGGUGGGCUUUGUGAAAUGAUUGCGGUUUUGAAAAUUCACCUAAGACAAAUGACCCAUAAUUUUUGCACAAAGGAACAAACAAUUAUUGAAAACAAUUUAAACACUCCUCAUGUUUGCAUAACUUUUGGUGAAAUUCAAGAAGAGAACAAUGAAAGCACUUCAAAGAAAAAUUUUCUCCCUUGACAAAGGUCUUUCCUGAGGUUGAAAUACUCUCAAAUGAAAAUGGUCAAUGCCUUCAACACUUGAUCUUAGAGGAAACCACCACAAAACUUAAGGAAAAGAAAUAAAAGACAAACAAGAAAAGAUAAACCAAAUUUUAGAAAGAAAUUAUGACAAAACUAGAAGAAAGACAAUCAAGAAAAAAGGCACACAAAAAGGACUCAAUGAUACUUACUAAACUUUUAACAAUGAAACUUUUUCUUUAGAAAUAGUUAAAGCAAAAGGAUAAAAAUUCCACAAUGGUUAAAAUCAAUUUGCCAAUCAAGUUGAAUCCAAAUUUGGAAAAUGUUUUUCUUUAGGAAUUGAUACCACCCAGAGUUUUAAUCAUGCAUAAUUUCCAAUAACUCCAAUUUUCCCAAAAAUUUUGGGAUUCAAUAUAAUUGAACACUUGAAAUCUUUUGUUUGGAACUUAAAUCUUUUCUUCUACUAAAACAAGUUUCUAGUUACUUUUCAAACUUUCAAAAUAAAAAACAAAGUAAGUAGAAUCAAAGUAGGGACUCCUAGAACACUAAUGACCAUAUGACUCAAAGCAAAAGUUAAGAACACAAUAAGACACAAAAAAAUAGCAAUCCAAAAGCGAAACAAAUCUAUGGAAGAUAAAAUGGCCAAAUGAAAAUUGCAAGAAGAAUAAAUGGCUGAAAAUUAAAUUGCAAGAAUGUAAAGACAAGAAUUUAAAGACAAGAAAUUAAAGGAACUUGAAUUUAAAGACACGAGAGUAAAGGUAGUUGAAUUUAAAGCCAAGAAAUUAAAGGUGCAAGAAAAGUAAAGUGUCAAAUCAACUCAAAGCAAAAUAAGCUCAAGAA
rnacentral:lncRNA from 1 species